GAUGAACGCUAGCUACAGGCUUAACACAUGCAAGUCGAGGGGCAGCAUGGUCUUAGCUUGCUAAGGCCGAUGGCGACCGGCGCACGGGUGAGUAACACGUAUCCAACCUGCCGUCUACUCUUGGACAGCCUUCUGAAAGGAAGAUUAAUACAAGAUGGCAUCAUGAGUCCGCAUGUUCACAUGAUUAAAGGUAUUCCGGUAGACGAUGGGGAUGCGUUCCAUUAGAUAGUAGGCGGGGUAACGGCCCACCUAGUCUUCGAUGGAUAGGGGUUCUGAGAGGAAGGUCCCCCACAUUGGAACUGGGACACGGUCCAAACUCCUACGGGAGGCAGCAGUGAGGAAUAUUGGUCAAUGGGCGCAGGCCUGAACCAGCCAAGUAGCGUGAAGGAUGACUGCCCUAGGGGUUGUAAACUUCUUUUAUAAAGGAAUAAAGUCGGGUAUGUAUACCCGUUUGCAUGUACUUUAUGAAUAAGGACCGGCUAACUCCGUG
rnacentral:rRNA from 1 species